AAGACGGUCUUGCUGUCACUUAUAGAUGGAUCCGCGCUGCAUUAGCUAGUUGGUAAGGUAACGGCUUACCAAGGCAACGAUGCAUAGCCGACCUGAGAGGGUGAUCGGCCACACUGGAACUGAGACACGGUCCAGACUCCUACGGGAGGCAGCAGUAGGGAAUCUUCCGCAAUGGGCGAAAGCCUGACGGAGCAACGCCGCGUGAGUGAUGAAGGUCUUCGGAUCGUAAAACUCUGUUAUUAGGGAAGAACAUAUGUGUAAGUAACUGUGCACAUCUUGACGGUACCUAAUCAGAAAGCCACGGCUAACUACGUGCCAGCAGCCGCGGUAAUACGUAGGUGGCAAGCGUUAUCCGGAAUUAUUGGGCGUAAAGCGCGCGUAGGCGGUUUUUUAAGUCUGAUGUGAAAGCCCACGGCUCAACCGUGGAGGGUCAUUGGAAACUGGAAAACUUGAGUGCAGAAGAGGAAAGU
rnacentral:rRNA from 1 species